ACGUCAAUGACCCGCGCAUAUGCCGGCUAGCAGGGUAGGGUGUGCUGCGCGGUGCCCUUCUGCUCUCUUGCCGGCAAUUACGACAGGCCAUUGGAUGUACGACAACGAGGUGGUGCCGGAAGGGCUGACAUCACCGUUCUGCCCGUGUGUGCAUGCGUGUACCCAAGGGGAGGGUGGAGCGGAGUUGCGUGCUGGACCGAGGGCGUUAUCCUGCCGAGGGUGUUAACGAUGAUUUACUUCAUUAAGUGCAUAGCUGUGGAUAUCAGGACAAGGUUAUGACUGAACUAGAGAGGAGAACAUCACCCAGAGCUCUUGGACUUGGAGCUGGAUGCAGGAACUGAUAAGACUCUGAAUUUCCCCUUUUGAGGAGUCUAGGUGGGCUAGGCUCCAAAGAUGGCUCCCAGUGAACCACAGCUCCUACUAUUAAUGCUCAUGUGUUCUUCCCACCUUCUUUUGUAUGGGCUGGCCUGUGACUUGUGUUAACCGCUCAAAUGCACCAGAAGUGAUGCUGUACCAAUUCUAGACCUGGUCUUUAGGAGGACUGGCCACUUCUAUUUUCUCCUUCUUGAAACAUUUGCUUUUGGGAGCUCUGAAUGACCAUGAAAUAAGUCUGACUACCUGACUAGAGAGAUGCUGUGGAAAGAUUGCAUGAAGAGGGAGAGAGACCCUGUUGUUACGAUGUCCCUGUUAUCUGAAGAGAUGACUCCAAUCCCACCUGUCAUCUGACUGCAACCACAUGAGAGGCCCUAGGUGAGAGCAGCAGAAGAACUGCCCAUAUGAUCUCAGUCAACCAACAGAAGCACAAGAGUCAUUCCAGUGCCAUCUACUGAUGAAGCUUAAAAUUCUGCCACCUACCAAAGGAGAAGCUUUUGCAGGAUCCAAGUCCAUUACCACAAAAUGCAGGGAAAAGAAGAGUGAAUUUAGAAUGGAGAACCAAUAAAUUGAUAAUUUGCACACCUUA